CUAGCCAAUCACCUGACCACGCCACACGCAAACACCGAUCUCCUCUCCCCGCCACCCGUCGAUCUCCUCCCCCCACCCCCCACCCUGCGCCGUCCGCCGUCCGCUCCCUGCCACCCCCCGCCGUCCGCCGGCCCGCGCCCUGCGCCACCCACUCUCUGCUCUCCUCGCCGCCCGACGUUCCCGCGCAUCCUGGUGGGCCCGUCGCCGCCGCAGCACCCGUCGGUGGUGAGCGAGGAGCCGCCGCCGUCGACAGCGGCGAGGCUGACGGUGGCGGAGGCGCGGAAGGUGUAGCCAUGCAGAUGGAGGAGGCGCGGGCGAGGCUGCGCGCGUCGGGCGCCGACGCCGUGCCGUACGCCGAGUUCCUCCGCCUCUGCUGCGACGCCGCCGGACCAGACGCCGGCACCUCCGUCGUGCGCGCCCUCGACGAGUCCGGAUCCACGGCAAGGCCGUCUUCCUCAUGCCCAAGAUGGCAUAUUACAACUGGCCUAUUGCUAUUGCUGAUCGGGUCUUGGUCAUUGGCGGAGACGACGCCGGCCUUGCAGCAGUUGGCGAUCUGCUGGUUGUAGGACACGGCCGGCGGGAGGUCGACGAUGUCUGGCGUGCACUUGCAGCUAUGCGUGAUGACGGCCGCCGACGUGUGCUCCACCACAGAGGGGUAUUUCUUUCCUCAUGUCAUCUUCCAAUCCAAGGACAUUGUUCAUUCCAAGCCAAGUCUGAAAGAUACAGAGCCCUUUCCCAUUCCUUCUACUCCCCAUUAUUUUUUACCCUUUUUGGUUUGGUUCUGAGCUCGCCCACCAACAACCUCUUCUCUCCAUUUCUUUGUUUGGAUGAUUUUUUUUUUUUUUGGCAGUGAGGGAUCUGUAAUCUCUAACUGGAUUUGUGCCACAACCCAUCGUCCUCUUAGAUCUGGGCUGCAAGCCCUCCUCGACGAGCAUUAAAGUGCUCGAUUGAAGUUCUUGGUUUUUUCGGUUGUCCCUGCCUUGGUUCUGCUCUUGGUCACUGAUGGCCCACAUGAAAAGCUGAAUUGUUGAUCUGAGAAAGGAUUUUGCCACCAUCCAUCCAUAGAUUGGUUUUUUUAUUCACACUGAUCAUACAUUAGUGGCCCACGAUCUAACCACAACUACUACAAACAAACUAUUUCCAAGAUUACUACGUCCAAGUCAUCAAUAGUUUCUGUUACUAUCCAAGGAAAAUCAGCCACCGACGACCUCUCCAAACUGAAGCCAACUGAAUAUCACACUAUUUCUUACAUGAAAAAUAAAAUUCCUCACAUGCAUGUCAUUAUAUGUGAAGGAAUUGUUCACAACAAUGAGAUUUAAUACUUAUAUUGUUGCAUACAUGCCUUCUAUUUUAUCACUACCUUUCUACUAUUGGAUGUCAUCAAUAAAAUAAUACAGCUUAUAUAUUUGCAUGUUAUUUGAAAUUAUGUCUUUGCAUUGUCUUUUAUGUGUCAUUUAUUUGUUGCCCGCAGCAACGCGCGGGGUAUCAUCUAGUAUUUACUCAUGGUUUACACACAUCAUAUAAGUUAUUGUGCUUAAAUGAGCAUUUUAUAAGUUGUUGCACUAGAUUACACCCACCUCACAAGUCCAUGUAUCGCGGGUGUAGUUUACUCUCGAUAGAAAUAACCUUUGGAUGAACGUUUUUCGUAGCUAAACAACCGUGCUGUUACGGCUUAAACAACUGAAACAAGCCAGCGUGGUGUAGGAAAUAGCCGUUGUGUUGGGUUGGGUUGGAUUGGAUGGAUGCAUACAUUGCCAACUUUAGGCCAUGCUCUUUUACUAGGUUUAGUAAAAGACAUAUAAAAGGUAUCAGUGGAUUAGAAUUUAAAUAAUAGAUUUAUAUAAUUUUUAAAGCAACUUUUCUGUGGAUUUUUUUUUUUUGCAAAAUACACUGAUUAGUGGUUUCGAAAACGUGUUUACAAAAAACUAGGGAAUAUGGGUUAGAAAACUAGGGUAAAGAAGUCAUUGCCGUGAAUUGCUCACGCAUUAGGUACUUCUAGACGUAGAAUUUUAGAAAUAAGAAGAAACUGGGAUUGGGAUGUUUUUGUAUAAGCAAAUCUUACAACAAUGUAAAACAUGGGAAUUUACAAGACAUUAUGAUCCAAUAGCUCAUAGGAAAAUAACACAAGACUUUGGAUUGCUUCUACAGAGAAGAGAGGUAAAAGAAGAGAACAUUGGAAUUCUCAAAGGAAAAUUAAAUGUAGUUGGAGACAUGGAGUUAUGUGCAAAAUUUCUAUGGAAUUAGGGUAUAGGAAUGUAAUCCAAAAAGAUAGCCAGCUUCAAAAUCUGGUUAAUCUAGUCUGGAGAAUUCCACUAAAAUUGAAUCCUUUUAAAUUCCUAUAUAAAUACUUAGUCACCAAGCAUGGAGCGGUUGGUGCGCCGCUGGCGCUGCUGCCUUUCCCCUCGCCCUCCUCACCCUUUUGGCCUUUUCCCCUCGAGCCAGUCGUGCAGAGUUCGUCGGCCCCCUUUUCCCUCCGACUCCGGUGACCGAAGUCACCGGCAGCGGGGAGGGGGCGUCCAGGUUAGUCGGGUAGAUUCCGUAGGAGGGCAAAUAUUUUUGUUUUAU